rnacentral:misc_RNA from 1 species
AUCUUUUAAUAUCUUAAAAAAUAAAAUAAAAUUUAUAGAUUGAAAAUUUUUGAAUAAAGUAAUAUUAGGAAAAUAAAUUCCUGAAUAUUCUAAUGAUCCUUCCGCAGGUUCACCUACGGAAA